rnacentral:piRNA from 1 species
CAACAUUGUCAUCCCUCUCUGUC